rnacentral:rRNA from 1 species
CAAAAACAUCGCCUCCUGCAAACCCUCAAUGUAUAGGAGGUCCUGCCUGCCCAGUGACAUAUUGUUAAACGGCCGCGGUAUUUUGACCGUGCUAAGGUAGCGCAAUCACUUGUCUUUUAAAUGAAGACCUGUAUGAAUGGUGGAACGAGGGCUUAACUGUCUCCCUUCUCCAGUCAAUGAAAUUGAUCUGCCCGUGCAGAAGCGGACAUACAAAUACAAGACGAGAAGACCCUUUGGAGCUUAAGACAAAAAGCCAACUGUGUAAAACCCCCAUACAAAAUGGAACUCAACAAAACAGUCAAUUUGGCCAGCGUCUUCGGUUGGGGCGACCGCGGGGGAAAAUAUAGCCCCCAUGCAGAACGGGAUACUUCCCUAAACUAAGAGAGACAUCUCUAAGUCACAGAAUAUCUGACUAUAUAGAUCCGGCCUAAAAGCCGAUCAACGGACCAAGUUACCCUAGGGAUAACAGCGCAAUCCCCUCCAAGAGUUCAUAUCGACAAGGGGGUUUACGACCUCGAUGUUGGAUCAGGACAUCCUAAUGGUGCAGCCGCUAUUAAGGGUUCGUUUGUUCAACGAUUAAAGUCCUACGUGAUCUGA